AUUGAACGCUGGCGGCGUGCCUAACACAUGCAAGUCGAGCGGCAGCGCGGGGGCAACCCUGGCGGCGAGCGGCGGACGGGUGAGUAACGCUUGGGAAUCUGCCUGUUAGUGGGGGACAAC
rnacentral:rRNA from 1 species